GUCGGGAAUAUUGCGCAAUGGAGGAAACUCUGACGCAGUGACGCCGCGUAUGGGAAGAAGGUUUUCGGAUUGUAAACCAUUGUCGUUAGGGAAGAAGAAGUGACAGUACCUAAGGAGGAAGCUCCGGCUAACUAUGUGCCAGCAGCCGCGGUAAUACAUAGGGAGCGAGCGUUAUCCGGAUUUAUUGGGUGUAAAGGGUGCGUAGACGGGAAUUUAAGUUGGUUGUGAAAUCCCUCGGCUCAACUGAGGAACUGCAACCAAAACUGGAUUUCUUGAGUGCUGGAGAGGAAAGUGGAAUUCCUAGUGUAGCGGUGAAAUGCGUAGAUAUUAGGAGGAACACCAGUGGCGAAGGCGACUUUCUGGACAGUAACUGACGUUGAGGCACGAAAGUGUGGGGAGCAAACAGGA
rnacentral:rRNA from 1 species